GACGAACGCUGGCGGCGUGCUUAACACAUGCAAGUCGAACGGUAAGGCCCUUCGGGGUACACGAGUGGCGAACGGGUGAGUAACACGUGGGUGAUCUGCCCUGCACUUCGGGAUAAGCCUGGGAAACUGGGUCUAAUACCGGAUAGGACUCCGGACUGCAUGGUCUGGGGUGGAAAGCUUUUGCGGGGUGGGAUGGGCCCGGGGCCUAUCAGCUUGUUGGUGGGGUGAUGGCCUGCCAAGGCGACGACGGGUAGCCGGCCUGAGGGGGUGUCCGGCCACACUGGGACUGAGAUACGGCCCAGGCUCCUACGGGAGGCAGCAGUGGGGAAUAUUGCACAAUGGGCGCAAGGCUGAUGCAGCGACGCCGCGUGAGGGAUGACGGCCUUCGGGUUGUAAACCUCUUUCAGCAUCGACGAAGCGAAAGUGACGGUAGGUGCAGAAGAAGGACCGGCCAACUACGUGCCAGCCGCCGCCGUAA
rnacentral:rRNA from 1 species